GACGAACGCUGGCGGCAUGCCUAAUACAUGCAAGUCGAGCGAACAGAUGAAGUGCUUGCACUUCUGACGUUAGCGGCGAACGGGUGAGUAACACGUAAGGAAUCUACCUAUAAGCGGGGGAUAACAUUCGGAAACGGGUGCUAAUACCGCAUAAUAUCUUCUUCCGCAUGGAAGAAGAUUGAAAGACGGCUCUGCUGUCACUUAUAGAUGACCUUGCGGUGCAUUAGUUAGUUGGUGGGGUAACGGCCUACCAAGACGAUGAUGCAUAGCCGACCUGAGAGGGUGAUCGGCUACAUUGGUACUGAGACACGGCCCAAACUCCUACGGGAGGCAGGAGUAGGGAAUCUUCCGCAGUGGGCGAAAGCCUGACGGAGCAAUGCCGCGUGAGUGAAGAAGGCCUUCGGAUCGUAAAACUCUGUUAUAAGAGAAGAACAAAUUGUAGAGUAACUGCUACAGUCUUGACGGUAUCUUAUCAGAAAGCCGCGGCUAACUACGUGCCAGCAGCCGCGGUAA
rnacentral:rRNA from 1 species